rnacentral:tRNA from 1 species
GUGCUGUGCAUGCGGGCGCCGACGGCGACGACGUUGGCGUUGUUGUGCUGGCGGCCCAGGGACGCCGUCUCCUCGCUCCAGGCGAGGGCGGCGCG